GGUGGGUUUUGUAGCCACCGCAAGGGGGAGACCGAGGCGGGGGGCUAUGCAGGGCUGGUUGUAUGUCCUGGAGCCGGCUGGCACAGCCUGGGGGAGGGCCUUGGUAAUGCCGUGUCUAGAUGGCAUGUGGAAGGAGCAGGACUUCGCCUCCUGCCCGGGGUCUGCAUUUCAUCUCCAGCUCCGGCGACUCACCCCUGCAUACCGGCCCCCUCCUGAGGCUGGACCAGCUGCCUUUCCGUCUAGGUGAGGGCCAGGUACACUGGCCGAGUGCCAUCAAUUCUGCACAUUAAUGCAGUAAAUCGAGUUAGAGAAGCCUGUAUUCCAGAAGAAAAUGCUCUAGUCUGAGAUAUCAGUCUGUGUAAAAGAUUCGAAAACUGAAAAUUAGACAAGGAACCUGAAUUGCAGCGCCAAGAGAGAAGUAUGGAUUCCAGAUGUUGAUUUUGGAAUCAUCAGUAGAGGAUGUUUACUGAAACAUGUGAACGGAAGUGUUUUCUCCAGAAGAGAGAUUAAAGAAUGAAAAUAGAGGUCUAUGGGGAGAGAAUCCUUGAAAGGAAACUGAGAAGUACUGAAGAAAGUUGUAUGUAUGUAGGAGGAAACCCAGAUGAGAGUCGUGUCCGAAAAACUGCGAGAGAAGGAGUUGAGGAAGGGGAGGGAGUGGCCCAUAUGUCACAGGCUGGAGAGAAACCUUCAGAAAUAAAAACUGAAAUGUGGCCCAUGUAUUUCAUGAAUUUAGCAGCUAGGUCUCUGGGUCCGUGGCAGAAGCAGUUUCCUGAACUGGUGGAGACAGUCAGCUUACAAGGCACCAAGGAGUGAACAGAACAUGCAAUGAUAGGAAAUAAGAACCUUUGUUCCUAAGGAUAAAAAGAUAAGGUCGUAUCCAGAGGUGGGACUGUGGAUUGUCAAUGUUGUUGUUUUAAGAAGGCAAAUAUUUGAGUAUGCUUAUGAAAGAAAAGGCUAUUGUGGUGAGGGGGAGGUUGAAAUGGCAGGGUAUGGGAGUGAGAGCCUAACAAUGGAUUUCGUUAUCUACAGUAAAGCUGUGCAUUGUGGUCGGCAGAGCCAUGCCAGCCCAUGAACUGGGAAUUACUGAUCUGAGACAUGAUAAAUAUGGAAGUGCAAAAUAAACAUUUAGAAAUGUUUAUAGCUAUUCGACAGAGUUAUUUGAUACCUUUGAAUCUAAAUAUUUAAAAACUAGGAGCUUGCAUUUUAUACAUCCUUCUUUGGUCAUUGUUGCUUUUCUAGUGGUUCACUUUUAUGACGUUUUACAAAAACAUAAAACAAAC
rnacentral:lncRNA from 1 species